AACACUGGCGAGGACGCGGUCAUGCAGUCUAAUAUUUGGCAUUAGAUUCAAAUGUUAACUGUAAGACUGUGUCUUUGACGGCGUU
rfam:Anopheles atroparvus strain EBRO unplaced genomic scaffold supercont1.2, whole genome shotgun sequence.